rnacentral:pre_miRNA from 1 species
UUCUGUGGAUGACCAAAGAAAGUGGUUUCUUGAGAUGGAAUAUACUCCUGAUGAAGAUACUAGAAA